CCCAUGUUUAAGAUCAGUAAUGGCGGAUAUACAAUGCAGUAUGCUGUCUGGUCAUCAACAGAGAGUUUUGACACCCGUAUUUCUACCAAUCACCUCUGUAACCUUUGUUGUGUUCAUCAGAUAGAUUCACCAGAUGCAGCUGCUCCAUCUCCAUCACUGGUGAAAUGGGAAAUGACUAGUGGACGGUCAUCACUUUGUAACUCACCAUUUUGCAGCCCAUCUCUUCUCAUCUUCAGUGGUGGCCUCUGGAAGAAUGGUUGCAGUGCAGUCUUCGUGUCUUAGGCAGAUAACUUCCUUUCCUUUGCUUCUCAUUUUUUAGCUCAACUCAACGAAAUUGGGGAACCUUAUGUGAUACCCUCAGCAUUGGUGUUGGUGUCCCAAGUUAAAGUUUUUGGAGCAGAGUUCUUUUUAACUAUGAAAAUGAAGAACUGGAGAGGAUCUUGAUUGAUUUUUCUUGAAUGAGACACAAGUGCCUUCCAUUUGUGAUACUAAAGGAAGCUGUUACAAAUUUAGUUUGCCACAGUACUGGCCUGACAUAUGAGGACAGGAAUAAAAGAUGUUUUAAAAUAGAAAUGUCUAUAAUUUAACUUAUAAGUAUGAUUAACUAAGAUCACAAACAACAAAUCAGUUGCAUUGCAAAUGUACAUAUAGCAUGUUUGCACUUACGAGGGAAUAUUCACUCCCUUUCAGUGAAAGUGUUGGCAUGCAGGUCAAUUAUUGUCACCAAAUCAUCUGUCAUAUUCUCUGCAUGCAGCUGUAGAAUUUGAUCAGAAAGAUUAGCUACACUAUUCUAUGUAUAAGUCUUAUGUAUAAAUCUAAGACAUUUUGGUUUCUAGUCACCAGUCUAUAUUUAUAAUCAUUGUAGUGUAAAAAAAUUCUGGUC